rnacentral:rRNA from 1 species
AAGCUCGUAGUUGAAUUUCGGGAUCAAUACGUCGGUCGUGCCUCCGGUAUGCACUGGUAUUAUUGAUUUCUACCUUCUGACGAACUGUGAUGUCAUUAAUUUGGUGUCAUGGGGAAUCAGGACUGUUACUUUGAAAAAAUUAGAGUGUUUAAAGCAGGCACACGCUUGAAUACAUUAGCAUGGAAUAAUGAAAUAGGACGUUCGAACCUAUUUUGUUGGUUUCUAGGAUUGACGUAAUGAUUAAUAGGAAUAGUGG